GAAGGAAGAGUAUAUCACUGCAUCCACUCUCAGAAUUUGCAAUAAUCUUUUGCAAGUCUUGUUAACAUGUGAUAAAGGUCAACAUAUACCUUGCCACCAGCGGCUGUAACAAUGCUCCAAUGGACAAUAACCAAGUUUAGAGUGACCACUUUCCUGAGUCUCAUUGCCACCUAUUGGAUGGAGCUACCACGACUUUCUUGACGGGUCACAUUUGAGAGCCUUCUGUCACAAGACCAUCAUUUCCACAACUCAUAUACAACUGUGACUGUGUGCUUCAUUUACACAUAGCUGCCAUUUGUGAGUCCUAGCCACAAACAUUUCUCUACCCAUGUU